GACGAAGGAUGCAAGCGUUAUCCGGAUUCAUUGGGCGUAAAGGGUGCGUAGGCGGCGCGGUAAGUCGGGUGUGAAAUCUUGGAGCUUAACUCCGAAACUGCAUUCGAUACUGCCGUGCUUGAGGACUGGAGAGGAGACUGGAAUUUACGGUGUAGCGGUGAAAUGCGCAGAUAUCAGGAGGAACACCGGUGGCGAAGGCGGGGUCUCUGGGCCGUAACUGACGCUGAGGAGCGAAAGCAUGGGUAGCGAACAGG
rnacentral:rRNA from 1 species